GAUGAAGAACGUAGCGAAAUGCGAUAAGUAAUGUGAAUUGCAGAAUUCAGUGAAUCAUCGAAUCUUUGAACGCACAUUGCGCCCGCCAGUAUUCUGGCGGGCAUGCCUGUUCGAGCGUCAUUUCAACCCUCAAGCCCAGCUUGGUGUUGGGGAUCGGCACAGGCGCCCUCGGGCGCCCGCCGUCCCCUAAAUCUAGUGGCGGUCCCGCUGCAGCCUCCUCUGCGUAGUAGUUUUCUCCUCGCGAGGGCAGCUCGGUGGCGACCUCGCCGUAAAACCCCCAACUUCUGAAAGGUUGACCUCGAAUCAGGUAGGAAUACCCGCUGAACUUAAGCAUAUCAAUAAGCGGAGGA
rnacentral:misc_RNA from 1 species